CAAAUUUAGGUACUUGAAACCCAAACUCGGUGCUUCACGAUACCAUUUCUAUGAGCGGAAUAAUACUAAUAAUAAUAACAAUAAUAUAAAAAUCAAACUUAAUUUACAUAAAUCAGAGUCUAAUCUCAAGUACGCAACCUUUACUAUAAUUCCUUACAUGAUAGAUAAUACAUAUCAUUGUUUUCAUACCGUUUAACUAUUACAAAAGAUACCAUUAAACAUAUUCUGUUUGUUUUCCUUUUUUCUUGUUUCUGCAUGAUCCUUCAGAAUGAUCACGAUUGGCUGAAAAUAUUUAAAUUAAGCAAGGAUAAGCAUUUGAGUGCUGAGCAAGUAAUAGCAAUUAUAAUUAUAUUUAGCUGAAAGGAUUAAAUAUUUUAUUUAUAAAUCACUUCUACAACGAUUCAAUAGUUGUGAAGUAAACUGAUCCG
rnacentral:lncRNA from 1 species